ACGGCUAAAUCGCGUUAAAACAUCGGUUCCAGUACGAUCACCAAAGUUAAGCAACACCGAGCCUGGUCAUUAUUUAGAUGGGUGACCGCUUGGGAAUGCCAGGUGCUGUAAG